UACGUAGGGUGCGAGCGUUAAUCGGAAUUACUGGGCGUAAAGCGUGCGCAGGCGGUUUUGUAAGCCAGAUGUGAAAUCCCCGGGCUUAACCUGGGAAUGGCAUUUGGGACUGCAAGGCUGGAGUGCGGCAGAGGAGACUGGAAUUCCUGGUGUAGCAGUGAAAUGCGUAGAUAUCAGGAGGAACACCAGUGGCGAAGGCGGUGCUCUGGGCCGGAACUGACGCUGAGGAGCGAAAGCGUGGGGAGCAAACAGG
rnacentral:rRNA from 1 species